rnacentral:rRNA from 1 species
AACGAACGCUGGCGGCAGGCCUAACACAUGCAAGUCGAACGCCGUAGCAAUACGGAGUGGCAGACGGGUGAGUAAUGCCUAGGAAUCUGCCUGUUAGUGGGGGAUAACGCGGGGAAACUCGCGCUAAUACCGCAUACGUCCUACGGGAGAAAGCGGGGGCUCUUCGGACCUCGCGCUAACAGAUGAGCCUAGGUCGGAUUAGCUAGUUGGUGGGGUAAUGGCCCACCAAGGCGACGAUCCGUAACUGGUCUGAGAGGAUGAUCAGUCACACUGGAACUGAGACACGGUCCAGACUCCUACGGGAGGCAGCAGUGGGGAAUAUUGGACAAUGGGCGAAAGCCUGAUCCAGCCAUGCCGCGUGUGUGAAGAAGGUCUUCGGAUUGUAAAGCACUUUAAGUCGGGAGGAAGGGCUGUAGGCUAAUACCUUGCAGUUUUGACGUUACCGACAGAAUAAGCACCGGCUAACUUCGUGCCAGCCGCCGCCGUAA